rnacentral:lncRNA from 1 species
GGAUUCCCAACCCUCAUAGAACAGCCAAGGAGCGGGUCACCGGCUGCCUCGUUAAAGUUGAAUUUCAGGAACAUCUAUCAAGGUACCUUGCUGCAAAUGCCAAACACUUGGAUGAAAGCCUGGAUGAAGUCUCCUCCAGCUACCCUGGGAAGUGCUCUCUGGCCUAUGGUAACCUACAGGUGGAACUUGAGGUGUGAUGUGCCACCUGGGCUUGGU